rnacentral:snRNA from 1 species
AGCUUUGCGCAAUGGCCGUUUCGUAGCCAAUGAGAUUUAUCCGAGGCGCAAUUACCGCUAAUUAAAAUUGGCACCUGAAAAGUUAAAAUAGCAAUGAGACAGAACAAAAGUUU